AGGUCUUGAGAUACUUGGGUUAAAUGUCUUUGGGUUUAAAUAAUACUGGGUUGGGUGACCUCUUAGGAAGUCUAAAUUCAGGAGUUU
rfam:Selaginella moellendorffii unplaced genomic scaffold SELMOscaffold_28, whole genome shotgun sequence.